rnacentral:rRNA from 1 species
GGGGGAAUAUUGGACAAUGGGCGAAAGCCUGAUCCAGCAAUGCCGCGUGAGUGAUGAAGGCCCUAGGGUUGUAAAGCUCUCUUACCCGGGAUGAUAAUGACAGUACCGGGAGAAUAAGCUCCGGCUAACUCCGUGCCAGCAGCCGCGGUAAUACGGAGGGAGCUAGCGUUGUUCGGAAUUACUGGGCGUAAAGCGCGCGUAGGCGGGCUUGUAAGUUGGACGUGAAAGCCCUGGGCUCAACCCAGGAAUUGCAUCCAAAACUACAAGUCUAGAGUGAUGGAGAGGGUAGCAGAAUUCCUGGUGUAGAGGUGAAAUUCGUAGAUAUCAGGAGGAACACCGGUGGCGAAGGCGGCUACCUGGACAUCAACUGACGCUGAGACGCGAAAGCGUGGGGAGCAAA